UACGUAGGGUGCGAGCGUUGUCCGGAAUUAUUGGGCGUAAAGGGCUCGUAGGCGGUCUGUUGCGUCGGGAGUGAAAAACUCAGGGCUUAACCCUGAGCCUGCUUCCGAUACGGGCAGACUAGAGGUAUGCAGGGGGAGAACGGAAUUCCUGGUGUAGCGGUGAAAUGCGCAGAUAUCAGGAGGAACACCGGUGGCGAAGGCGGUUCUCUGGGCAGCAACUGACGCUGAGGAGCGAAAGCGUGGGGGAGCGAACAGG
rnacentral:rRNA from 1 species